GGGAUUGCCUCAGUAACGGCGAGUGAAGCGGCAACAGCUCAAAUUUGAAAUCUGGCCCCUCCGGGGUCCGAGUUGUAAUUUGUAGAGAGUGUUUCGGGUGAGACCACGGUCUAAGUCUGUUGGAACAUUACGUCAUAGAGGGUGAGAACCCCGUAUGCGACCGUGGCUCGAGCCCAUGUGAAGCCUCUUCGACGAGUCGAGUUGUUUGGGAAUGCAGCUCAUAAUGGGUGGUAAAUUUCAUCUAAAGCUAAAUACUGGCUGGAGACCGAUAGCGCACAAGUAGAGUGAUCGAAAGAUGAAAAGCACUUUGGAAAGAGAGUCAAACAGUACGUGAAAUUGUUGAAAGGGAAGCGCUGGCAACCAGACCUGUCCGUAGGCGAUCAGCCGCUGUUCUCAGCGGUGCACUCGUUCUGCGAUCAGGCCAGCAUCGGUUUCGGCGGUCGGAUAAAGGCCCGGGGAACGUAGCUCUCCUUCGGGGGAGUGUUAUAGCCCCGGGCGCAAUGCGGCCAGCCGGGACCGAGGACCGCGCAUUUAUGCUAGGAUGCUGGCGUAAUGGUUGUCAGCGACCCGUCUUGAAACACGGACCAAGGAGUCUAACAUCUAUGCGAGUGUUUGGGUGUUAAACCCAUGCGCGGAAUGAAAGUGAACGGAGGUGAGAACCCUUUAGGGCGCAUCAUCGACCGAUCCAGAAGUUUACGGAUGGAUUUGAGUAUGAGCAUAGCUGUUGGGACCCGAAAGAUGGUGAACUAUGCCUGAAUAGGGUGAAGCCAGAGGAAACUCUGGUGGAGGCUCGCAGCGGUUCUGACGUGCAAAUCGAUCGUCAAAUUUGGGUAUAGGGGCGAAAGACUAAUCGAACCAUCUAGUAGCUGGUUCCUGCCGAAGU
rnacentral:rRNA from 1 species